rnacentral:rRNA from 1 species
GUGAACGCUGGCGGUAGGCCUAACACAUGCCAGUCGAACCGCAGCACAGUAAGAGCUUGCUCUUACGGGUGGCGAGUGGCGGACGGGUGAGGAAUACAUCGGAAUCUACUUUUUCGUGGGGGAUAACGUAGGGAAACUUACGCUAAUACCGCAUACGACCUACGGGUGAAAGCAGGGGAUCUUCGGACCUUGCGCGAUUGAAUGAGCCGAUGUCGGAUUAGCUAGUUGGCGGGGUAAAGGCCCACCAAGGCGACGAUCCGUAGCUGGUCUGAGAGGAUGAUCAGCCACACUGGAACUGAGACACGGUCCAGACUCCUACGGGAGGCAGCAGUGGGGAAUAUUGGACAAUGGGCGCAAGCCUGAUCCAGCCAUACCGCGUGGGUGAAGAAGGCCUUCGGGUUGUAAAGCCCUUUUGUUGGGAAAGAAAAGCAGCAGGUUAAUACCCCGCUGUUCUGACGGUACCCAAAGAAUAAGCACCGGCUAACUUCGUG